rnacentral:rRNA from 1 species
AACGAACGCUGGCGGCAGGCUUAACACAUGCAAGUCGAGCGCCCCGCAAGGGGAGCGGCAGACGGGUGAGUAACGCGUGGGAACGUGCCCUUUGGUUCGGAACAACUCCGGGAAAAUGGAGCUAAUACCGGAUAAGCCCUUCGGGGGAAAGAUUUAUCGCCAAAGGAUCGGCCCGCGUCUGAUUAGCUAGUUGGUGAGGUAAUGGCUCACCAAGGCGACGAUCAGUAGCUGGUUUGAGAGGAUGAUCAGCCACACUGGGACUGAGACACGGCCCAGACUCCUACGGGAGGCAGCAGUGGGGAAUAUUGGACAAUGGGCGCAAGCCUGAUCCAGCCAUGCCGCGUGAGUGAUGAAGGCCUUAGGGUUGUAAAGCUCUUUUGUCCGGGAAGAUAAUGGCUGUACCGGAAGAAUAAGCCCCGGCUAACUUCGUGCCAGCAGCCGCCGUAACAC